GAAGACCCAGAGGCAUUUGCUGAGCUCAAGGUAAAGGAGAUCAAGAACGGUAGACUUGCCAUGUUCUCUAUGUUCGGAUUCUUCGUUCAAGCUAUUGUUACCGGAAAGGGUCCAUUGGAGAACCUUGCUGACCACCUUGCAGACCCCGUUAACAACAACGCUUGGGCUUUUGCCACAAACUUUGUCCCCGGAAAAUGAAACUUUUUAAACAAUCUUAAUAUUCCUUGUAAAGUAGUAGUGAGUUACUUGACAAUAGAAUGGAUUGUUUUUCUUUAAUAUUUCAAUGUUUGUGUAGUACUGAGUAACAUCUUACUAAGCUAUGAAUCAAAUGUUGCCACUUUCAUAACAAAGGAUAAUCAAAGAAAGAGAACAGAGCAAAAAAGACAGAAGAUACAUAUAUAUGAGAUAUGGUAACUAGAAAAACUCUAAAGCUGUGACAGGCUUACAACAUCGAAUUUUCAGACCAGAAGAACUUAGGGAAUUCAAUCAACUCUCAAGAAGCAAUACUCAAAAUUAGAGCAAAGUAUUAAUUUUGAAAAAUAAGAUGUUAUUACAUCAUUCAUUAAUUUUGUCGAGAGGUUAAAGAGGAAAUAGAGGACGUUAUAUCAUUUCACGACUAGAACAUUAACAGUUCAAUAAUAAGGGAAGAAAGCCAAUAUGUUUUUUAGUCUGAAAUGUAGUUAUUAGAAACAUAUAAGUUUCCAGGUCCUUAUAUUAUGUGCCUUUAAUUUGGAUAGCAUCUUUGAACAGAUUCGUAAAUCUCUUAUACAUCCUCCUUUCUCACAUAUCUGACAAAUCCUUUGACAUAGUAAUGACCAGAGCCAAAGGACACACUUAUAUAGUUAGCAGAAGACACAAGUAAUGCUAUAUAUGACACUUACUGGCAACAAAUUCUAAGUUGUAUGCACUAAUAACGUAAGCAAUAUUUACACAAUCAAGUUACUUAGUAAGUUACUAAAGGUAAAUCCCUUGAUAAACAUUAAUUGGUAUUCUGGUUAAAAAUAGUAACUGAUCUACUAUCACAUGUUAAAAUUUAUGGAUAGUGUAAAAACAUCUUUACACUGUUAGUAAAUUCUAUUUCUCUUAACACAGAAAAAAUUGUGAUACUGAUGAAUAUCAACAAAUUAAAAUCUGUGUUCAUGUCCUUCAGAACAAGCACUUUCCAAGUCUCAGCAUCUGUUGCUCAUGUAGUGGUUAAGUACUAAGCUGCGUUGAAUCUCUACGCAUAAAUUAACAGUAUCUUGAAUGAGCAUAUGAAAAUAUAACAUGCGUGGCUAACAUAAACAACUUUGUCAAUUGAGGUCUAAUAUAUUAAUAAAGUUUCAAUUGCAUUGCUUCCCAAACAUAAACAUGCAUUAUUGAUCUCCCACAAUUUAUGAAUUUAAUUGUGGCAUCUUUUACCAUGAAGGUAGACAAAUUCCAAGUGGAUAAUGAUAUGGACAUCAUAUUGUGAGCUCAACAUUGAAUGAGCUGUAGUGCUGAUAGAUGAAAUCUGGAGAAAUUUCAAAUGGAUAAUGACAAAGAUAUCAGUAGUGUAAACUCAACAAAUCAGAGGGCAGAGUUCAAUCUUUACAGCCACACAAAGGAGGGCAAUAUUGGAUGGGCCCCUUAAGUAAUAAACAUCAUGCAGAUUGGAGAUUGCCAAGUGCAUUAAUCGCUACACAUGGGAUCUUGAUACCCAAUGAGAUUAUAGAUAUAGAUAUCACUAGAUAAUUACGGCUCUUUCCCUCUUUCUUAAUCCCUAUAUAUGGUGAAUUAAUUCCCUUGUAACUUCAUCUCAUCACAGCCUUCAACAAUAUUUAAUACCAUAAAAUACUCAACACUUUUCUCUUAAUAUAAAUCAUGGCAGCUGCUGCAAUGGCUCUUUCUUCCCCUUCAUUUGCUGGACAGGCAGUCAAACUCUCACCAUCUGCCUCAGAAAAUUCUGGAAAUGGAAGGAUCACUAUGAGAAAGGCUGUCGCCAAGUCUGCCCCAUCUAGCAGCCCAUGGUAUGGCCCUGACCGUGUUAAGUACUUGGGACCAUUCUCUGGUGAGUCCCCAAGCUACUUGACUGGCGAAUUCCCUGGUGACUACGGCUGGGAUACCGCUGGACUUUCAGCUGACCCUGAGACCUUUGCCAAGAACCGUGAACUUGAGGUGAUCCACUGCAGAUGGGCUAUGCUUGGUGCUCUUGGAUGUGUCUUUCCUGAGCUCUUGGCCCGCAACGGUGUAAAGUUUGGUGAGGCUGUGUGGUUCAAGGCCGGAUCCCAGAUCUUCAGCGAGGGUGGACUUGACUACUUGGGCAACCCAAGCUUGGUCCAUGCACAAAGCAUCUUGGCCAUCUGGGCUUGUCAAGUUGUGUUGAUGGGAGCCGUUGAAGGUUACCGCAUUGCUGGUGGACCUCUUGGUGAGGUUGUCGACCCACUCUACCCCGGUGGCAGCUUCGACCCAUUAGGCCUUGCUGAAGACCCUGAGGCAUUUGCCGAGCUCAAGGUAAAGGAGAUUAAGAACGGCAGACUUGCUAUGUUCUCGAUGUUUGGAUUCUUCGUUCAAGCCAUUGUUACUGGAAAGGGUCCAUUGGAAAACCUUGCUGACCACCUUGCAGACCCCGUUAACAACAACGCUUGGGCUUUCGCCACAAACUUUGUUCCCGGAAAAUGAAAAUCUUAAACAUUCUUAAAAUUUGAUUGUUUGAUGGCCUUGUAAAGUAGUUGUCAGUAAUUACUUGACAUUAGAAUGGAUUAUUUUUUUUCAAUAUUCAAAAUUUCCAAUGAUUGUGUAAUCCUGAGUUACAUUUUUCAAAGCCACGAAUAAAAAAUAUUGCCACUUUUAUACCAAAGGGUAGAAGAAAGAGACCAAAGAAAAAAUAAUUGAGAAUUAAGAUGUCGUAACUAGAAAAACUAUAUGCUGUUAUAAGAUUAAAACUUGAAUUAUGGAAUUCAAUUAAUUCUGGAUAAGCAAUACUCAAAAUUAGUGUAAAGUACUAAUGUUGAACACCAUGACGUUAUUACAUGAUUCCUUAUUUUUCUAUCGAGAAGCGAAAGAGGAAAUAAGAAGACAUUGUUUCAUUUCAAUGCUAAGUGAAAACCAAUGUGUUUAACAUAUGACUUUACAGGUCCUUGCAUUAUAUGUCCUGUGAAAAAAUUCAUAAAUUUCUUGAAAAAUCAUCCUUCAUAACAUUGAUACCAUCUUUAGAUUAAAAGAUCUUUCCAAACAAGGCGCAUAGUAAUGACCAUAGCCAAAGCACAUACUUGUAUAGUUAGUUCGCAGAAGAGACAACAUGACACUUAUUGGCAACAAAUUUAAGCUAUGCACUGGUAAUAUAAAAAUUAUAUACAAUCAGUUUUACUUAUAAAGUAAUAUAUGUAAAUCCGUUGAUAACCAUUACUCCAAUGGUAGUCUCGUAAAAAUAGGGAAUUGACUUACUAUCACAUGUUAAAUUUUAUGGAUACGGCAAAAACAUCUUUAUACUGUCAGUGUAUAUAACUUAAAUCUACAAUUAGUAAAAAUAUAUUGUGGUGCUGAUGAAUUCUAACAAAUUAACGUGUUUGUUCAUGUUCUUCUGAAUAAGCUCUUUCAGAGUUUCACCAUUGCUCAUGUAGCAGUUAAGUACUGGAACUAAGCCGCAUUAAAUCUGUAAACAUGAAUUAACAAUGUCUUGAAUGAGCAUAAAACAAGAUAGCAUGUGUUGCUGACAUAAACAACUUUGUCAAUUGGGGUCUAAUAUGUUAAUAAAGUUUCAAUCACAUUGUUUUCCAAACAUAAACAUGCAUUAUUAAUUUCCCACAAUUUAUGCAUCAAGGUGGUAAUAAAUUUAAACUUCUCCUCGAAUUUCCUAAACCAUAGUUCUACAUCUUUUACCCUGCAGGUAGACAAAAUCUAUAGAAAUGGCAAGUGGAUAAUGAUAGGGAUAUCAUAUUGUAAGCUCAAUAUAUCACAGGGUGGAUUUCAAUCCUUGUGGCAAUAUAUGAGAGGACAAUACUGAAUGUGUCCCUUCUUGGAAAAUUAAUGAGUUGUAGAUUCAAGUUGCUACAAUAUAUGGGAUCUUGAUAUCCAAUGAGAUCAUAUGUAUAGAUAUCACUGGAUAAGAGGAUUCUCUCUCUCUAAUUACCUCCUAUAUAUUCUGAACCCCAACUACUUCAGCUUCAUCACAACCAACUUUGACAUUUCAAACACUCAUCACUUUUCUCUUGUUAUAAACCAUGGCAGCUUCUACAAUGGCUCUUUCUUCCCCUUCUUUUGUUGGGCAGGCAGUGAAACUCUCACCCUCUGCCUCAGAAAUCUCUGGAAAUGGAAGGAUCACUAUGAGAAAGGCUGUUGCCAAGUCUGCCCCGUCUAGCAGCCCAUGGUAUGGACCAGACCGUGUUAAGUACUUAGGCCCAUUCUCUGGUGAGUCCCCAAGCUACUUGACCGGUGAAUUCCCUGGUGACUACGGCUGGGAUACCGCUGGACUUUCAGCUGACCCUGAAACUUUUGCCAAGAACCGUGAACUUGAGGUGAUCCACUGCAGAUGGGCUAUGCUUGGUGCUCUUGGAUGUGUCUUCCCUGAGCUAUUGGCCCGUAAUGGUGUCAAGUUCGGUGAGGCUGUGUGGUUCAAGGCUGGAUCCCAGAUCUUCAGCGAGGGUGGACUUGAUUACUUGGGCAACCCAAGCUUGGUCCAUGCACAAAGCAUCUUGGCCAUCUGGGCUUGUCAAGUUGUGUUGAUGGGAGCCGUUGAGGGAUACCGCAUUGCUGGUGGACCUCUUGGUGAGGUUGUCGACCCACUCUACCCCGGUGGCAGCUUCGACCCAUUAGGCCUUGCUGAAGACCCGGAGGCAUUUGCUGAGCUUAAGGUUAAGGAGAUCAAGAACGGCAGACUUGCUAUGUUCUCUAUGUUUGGGUUCUUUGUUCAGGCCAUUGUUACCGGAAAGGGUCCAUUGGAGAACCUCGCUGACCACCUUGCGGAUCCAGUUAAUAACAAUGCCUGGGCCUUUGCCACAAACUUUGUUCCUGGAAAAUGAAUAUCAUAAAUUGAUGGCCUUGUAAAGUUGUAAUUGUGAGUUUACUAGACAAUAUAAUGGAUUUUUCUUAUAUUCCAACUAUGGUGUAGUAUAUAAUUCCAUUUUCCAAUUGCAUGAAUGAAAUACUGCAAGAUUCAUAUCAAAGGGGGAAAAAAGAUGACUAAGCAAAAACAAAAAAGAAAAACCAAUAUACAUUUGGAAUGUGGUAAAAGCUUAAAUCUUGAAUAUACAGACACAGGAACUUAAGGAAUUCAAUUUAUCCUCAAGAAUCAAUAAUAGUCUUAACUUAAUGCCAAGAAUAACAUUGAACAACAUGAUGUUAUUGACAUGAUUCCUAAUUUUUCUAUCUGAGAAGUGAGAUGAUUUAAGAGUACAUAACAAUUUUUCACUUCUACAUCAUUGACAUUUCAUUGAUGAGAGAAAACCAAUGCUGUGUGUUAUGUAAUCUGAACGUAGCAAGUAAAAGCAUCUAUGCAACUGCUUAUAUAACAGAGGCAGGUAUCCUCCAAAGAUGGCAUAUAGUAACGAGUAACGACCAGAGCCAAAAUUAAGGAAAUAGUAAGCAGAAGAUACAAGAAACUAAGAUAUACAUGACACUUAUUAUAAAGGAAAAUAAGUUCUAAGCAUUGACAUUGUAAAAAUGCUAAUGCUCAUGUCACUUAUUAACAAGGGCAGGGGUAAGCUUCAUCAUGCAUAUUUGACAGAACCAAUUAAGUAGUUUUGGUUCAAACAAAUAUAUAUAAGUGUUAAGAAACAAACAAAUUAAAUUGAGGAAUUCAUUUACUAGUAACUAAAUGAAACAUAUACAGAAUGUUCUAUGACUAUAAAUGCCUCUUCAUGACCAUAAGAUUUUUAAAAAUCCAUGCAUGGACCUUGGUUGAAAGAGAAUAUGAUAUUCUGCAUUGCCUUAAUGUCGCCAAAUGCUAUAGUGACUCUUGGAUGCAAUGACAUUAUAUCAAAGCUGCUAAAUGUUUUUACGGAAAAUCUUUUGUCAUUGAAUGUCUCUUUUGUUGUAGUGAUAUGUGUUAAAGAAAUUCAUCAACACAAAUUAAAUUUAGAAUCUGUUUAUCAGAAUCCAUAAAGUUCAAAUCUUGAUCCACAUUUGCUUAUGAAGUAAAUAGAGGUUAAACAUGAAUUGAUAAUAUGAUAAAAAUGAGUUUCAGCUUUUCCUCAAUUUAUUUAGUGAAGGCUUAACCAUAGUUCUACAUUGAAUAAGCUUUAGUGCUGAUAGAUAAAAUUUGGAUAAAUUCCAAAUGGAUAAUGAUAAGAGAUAUCAGUGUAUUGUAAGCUCAACAAAUCAGAGGGUAGAGUUCAAUCCUUGUAUCCACACAUAGGAGGACAGUAUUGGAUGGGUCCCUUCAGUAAACAUCUUAAAAAAUUAGAAGGAUUAGAGAUUGUCAAGUUGCAUUCAUUGCUACACUUAGGAUCUUGAUAUCCAAUGAGAUCAUAGAUAUAGAUAUCAUUAGAUAAUUUGGACUCUUUCCCUCUUAAUUACUCCCUAUAUAUAUGGUGAAUUAAUUCCUUGUAACUUCAUCUCAUUACAGCCAACUUCAACAAUAUCUCAUACCAUCAAACACUUACAUUUCUCUUGAUAUAAACACCAUGGCAGCUGCUACAAUGGCUCUUUCUUCCCCUUCUUUUGCUGGACAAGCAGUGAAACUCUUACCAUCUGCCUCAGAAAUCACAGGAAAUGGAAGGAUCACUAUGAGAAAGGCUGUCGCAAAGUCAGCCCCAUCUAGCAGCCCAUGGUAUGGCCCUGACCGUGUUAAGUACUUGGGUCCAUUCUCUGGUGAGUCCCCUAGCUACUUGAAUGGUGAAUUCCCUGGUGACUACGGGUGGGACACCGCUGGACUUUCAGCAGAUCCAGAAACCUUUGCCAAGAACCGUGAACUCGAGGUGAUCCACUGCAGAUGGGCUAUGCUUGGUGCUCUUGGAUGUGUCUUCCCUGAGCUCUUGGCCCGUAAUGGUGUCAAGUUUGGUGAGGCUGUCUGGUUCAAGGCUGGAUCUCAAAUCUUCAGUGAGGGUGGACUUGACUACUUGGGCAACCCAAGCUUGGUCCAUGCACAGAGCAUCUUGGCCAUCUGGGCUUGCCAAGUUGUACUCAUGGGAGCCGUUGAAGGUUACCGUAUUGCUGGUGGACCUCUUGGUGAGGUUGUAGACCCACUCUACCCCGGUGGAAGCUUCGACCCAUUAGGCCUUGCUGAAGACCCUGAGGCAUUUGCUGAGCUCAAGGUAAAGGAGAUUAAGAACGGUAGACUUGCUAUGUUCUCUAUGUUUGGAUUCUUUGUUCAAGCCAUUGUUACUGGAAAGGGACCAUUGGAGAACCUUGCUGAUCACCUUGCAGACCCAGUAAACAACAACGCCUGGUCCUACGCCACAAACUUUGUCCCCGGAAAAUAAAAAUCUUAAAACAUUCUCAAGUUUCUGAUCAUUUGUUGACCAUGUAAAGUUGUAAUUUGUGAGUUAACUUGAACAAUAGAAUUGAUUUUUCUUACAUCUUAUUCCUGUUAUGGUAUAGUCUUGAAUUUCAUUUUCCAAUGGCAUGAAUGAGAUGCUGCAAGUUUCAUAUCAAAGGGGAAAAACAGGUGACUGUUCAAAAAAAAUUAUACAUUUGGUAUGUGGUAAAAGCUUAAAAGUUGAAUAUAGAGACCAGUAGAGGAACUUAUGGAAUGAUUCAGUUCUCAAGAAGCAAUACUCUUAACUUAGUGCCGACAGUAGCAUGAUGAUUCCUUUAUUUUUAAGUUGAGAAGUGAGAUGAAUUAAGAGGACAUACGUUUAUUUCACUACUACGUACGCAGUGACAUUUCAAUGAUAAGGGAAAACUAAUGUAUAUGUUUUGUCUUCAGAAUCAGCAAGUACUCUCUCUGUUUCAAUUUAAUCCGUCUUACUUUCAUUUUUUACAAUACCUUGCUUCAACUUUUCACUUAACAUGUUUAAGACCACAAGAUUAAAUAACGUUUUGGUACAUUAUACAUAUCUUUGUUUUAAGAUCAUAAGAUUCAAAAAUAUUCUUUACUUUCUUAAAUUCCGUAACAAGUCAAAAUUAGACAAACAAAAUAAAACGGAGUGAGUGAUAUUGACGAGUUUCCAGAUCAUUAAUAGACUGAUAUGUCGUUAAUUUAAUUAGCAUCUUUAACUUGAACAAAAUCAUAAACUUCUUGUAUAAUCUUCCUUCCUUACAUAUGUCUUUAGAGUAAAAGCAUCUGUGUGACAGCUUAUAUAACAGAGGCAGAUAUCCUUCCAAACAUGGUACAUUUUGAUCAGAAUUUACAGCCAAAAGGACACAUAGUAAGCAGAAGAUAUUCAUGACACUAUGGAAAAGAAAAUUAAGUUCUAUGUAUUGACAUUGUCAAAAAUACUUGCACAAUCAUAUCACUUAUUACAGUGGCUCGCAGAGGUAGCCUUCAGCAUAUCAGUUUGACAGAACCAAAUAGCUUUGGCUUAAACCAUGUAUAUGUGUUAACAUAUUCAUUAAAUAUGUAUACAGAAUUUACUAAUACUUGAGGUCAUUGUCCUAGAUUCUAGAACUCAUAAAGUUCAAAUCUUGAUUAGUCUUUCCUUUUUAAGUAAUUACAAGUUGUGAUAAACACCAGUAACAAUAUAACGAGUAUAAUCUCAUAACUAAGGUCUGGCGAGGGUAACGUGUUAGGCAGACCUUACCCUACAUUAAGUGACAUAUAGCGCUGUUAGAUAAAAUCUGGAGAAAUUUUCAAUGGAUAAUGAUAAGAGAUAUCAUAUUGUAAGUUCAACAAAUCACAGAAUAGAGUUCAAGCCUUGUAGCCAAUUAAAGGUGGACAACAUUAGUUGGGUCCCCACUGUAAACAUCCUGUAAAAUUGUUGGACUAGAGAUUGCCAAGUAGCAUUACUUGCUGUAUAUGGGAUCUUGAUACCCAAUGAGAUCAUAAAUAUAGAUAUCACUAGAUAAGGACUCUUUCCCUCUUAAUCCCUAUAUAUGCUGAAUAAUUCCCUUGUAACUUCAACUCAUCACAGCAAACUUCAAAAGUUUACCAUCAAACACUUACUUUUCUCUUGAUAUAAACACAAUGGCAGCUGCUACAAUGGCUCUUUCUUCCCCUUCUUUUGCUGGACAGGCGGUGAAACUCUCACCCUCUGCCUCAGAAAUCUCUGGAAAUGGAAGGAUCACUAUGAGAAAGGCUGUUGCCAAGUCUGCCCCAUCUAGCAGCCCAUGGUAUGGCCCUGACCGUGUUAAGUACUUGGGCCCAUUCUCUGGUGAAUCCCCAAGCUACUUGACCGGUGAAUUCCCUGGUGACUAUGGAUGGGACACUGCUGGACUUUCAGCAGACCCUGAGACCUUUGCCAAGAACCGUGAACUCGAGGUGAUCCACUGUAGAUGGGCUAUGCUUGGUGCUCUUGGAUGUGUCUUUCCUGAGCUCUUGGCCCGCAACGGUGUAAAGUUUGGUGAGGCUGUGUGGUUCAAGGCCGGAUCCCAGAUCUUCAGCGAGGGUGGACUUGACUACUUGGGCAACCCAAGCUUGGUUCAUGCACAAAGCAUCUUGGCCAUUUGGGCUUGCCAAGUUGUGUUGAUGGGAGCUGUUGAAGGUUACCGUAUUGCUGGUGGACCUCUUGGUGAGGUUGUCGACCCACUCUACCCAGGUGGAAGCUUCGACCCAUUAGGCCUUGCUGAAGACCCAGAGGCAUUUGCUGAGCUCAAGGUAAAGGAGAUCAAGAACGGUAGACUUGCUAUGUUCUCUAUGUUUGGAUUCUUUGUUCAAGCCAUUGUUACCGGAAAAGGUCCAUUGGAGAACCUUGCUGAUCACCUUGCAGACCCAGUAAACAACAACGCCUGGGCCUUCGCCACAAACUUUGUUCCCGGAAAGUGAAUACCAUAAAAUGAUUUUUAAAUUUUCAUGUAAAGUUGUUGUGAAUGAGUUGACAAUAUAAUGGAUUUUUCUAUUCCAAUGAUUUUUAGUCCUGAAUUUUCAUCUUCUAAACCCACAAUACGAAUCAAACAAUAAAACUUUCAUUCCAAAAACAAAAGAAACAGAAUAGAGAAUAAAGCCCUAACGAACACUUUCAACGAUAUGGUAAUUAAAAAACCACAGUAAAGGUGUUUAUAGCUUAAACUUCAAUUUGUAGAACAUAGCAGAUUUAUUAGGUGCAUCGUCUAUGCUAUGUUUGAGCUAUUGACACACAUAUACUGACAAUAACAACAAACAGAUAGUAUAUUGUUUGCUUGAAUGUUAAUGUUAUAAAUUACAUUAAUUUCCAGGUCGAAAAUCUCUGCAGAUUUUAAUUUUCCAUUAUCACGUACAGUGGUGUAUAGUGAUCAUUAUGACUAAUGUCUCUUCAUGACCAUGAGAUUAACUAACAAAAGUCUAUUCAUGGAUCUAUGUUAAAAGAAGAAAAAACGAUGGUGGGUACUGGCGCUAGUUGCUUGGAUUCUUUGAAAAUGUCAACAAGUGUGUUUGGAAUUAUCAGCAUAAACAUGAAG
rnacentral:lncRNA from 1 species